GCUGAUGAUGGUGUUUCAGAGAAGAUGGAGGACCACGCAAAAAGGUUAAAAACAGGAGCAGGAGGGAAGCGGAGGAGGUGGCUGCUACACAAAGCAAAGGUCGUGAUAGUGAACGUUUCCGUGGGCCUCAUCCAGCCUGACGAAGCAAGGGAGUGAAGAAGCAAAAAAAUGUGAGGACGAGUGCACCUGCUAUCCCCCCAGGAGAGCUUCUUGCGGCGGUAGCAGCCAUGUGACACGAAGUAGGGACAUUCCUCCCCGGUCUCUGGUGCCAGUGUGCCCCAACCACAGGCGGCUGCUGUCCGCUUGACAUGGCCAAGGAAUCACAGAGGCUGUGUUAAAGUGGCGACACAAUCACUCCAUUUACCCUGAGAAAGGAGGCAGAGAGGAGAGGAAAACCUGUUUUGCAUCCUGAUCAUACAGGAUCCAGACACUGGGUGGGAUGGAGGCCUCAUCCGGUCCAGGCAGGCCGGGCUACAAUGUACACUAAAUAAGGCAGGGCGAACACUUAGUCUGCUUGGCCCCACACGGUUGGACGACACCCUCGCCCGGCGGACACUGCUUGCAGCACUUUCCGUCAGUCGUGUACUGCCCCGACAAACACUCCUCCUCUUUGGCCGAGGCCACCACCUGUCAAUCAUCAGAGGCAUCAGUCAGUCACAUGUUGGACAAAGUGGCUAAGAGGUACAGUAUGUGUGAGCUUAUUGAAUGUGUACUUCAUUAGUGUGGAAUAUUGUACUUUAUCCUUGUUAUCUUAGGCAUGGUCCUGGGAUGGGAAAGAGUUGAGUGACACACAAUGUUUUUCUUAGGCCUUUAUCUACUUUUCUAUUGUUUUAUGUUGUUAAACACUAGGAUAGCUUUACAUCCCUAGAGUCAGAUUAUUUCUUUUCUUUUUUUUUUUUAACCAUAAAUAGACGUUGCUUCAUUUGCAAAAGUUCCAAUGUGAAAAAAUGUGGGAACUAACCCAUCUAAAAUUAAAAAAAACAACAAUUAGGAAUAUUGUUUUUUCUUUUCUGCUCCCAGUCUUCCCUUGACGAGAACACAUGU